rnacentral:tRNA from 1 species
UCCUGGAUGGUCUGACAGUGGAUGGGAAUCUGCCUGCCAAUGCAGGAGGACACGGGUUCAAGCCCUGUUCCAGGAA